rnacentral:tRNA from 1 species
GGGGUAGUGCUGGAACUGGUAGACAGGCAUGUGCCGUGAGGGUUCGAGUCCCUCCUACCCUA